GACGAACGCUGGCGGCGUGCCUAAUACAUGCAAGUUGAGCGCUGAAGGUUGGUACUUGUACCAACUGGAUGAGCAGCGAACGGGUGAGUAACGCGUGGGGAAUCUGCCUUUGAGCGGGGGACAACAUUUGGAAACGAAUGCUAAUACCGCAUAAAAACUUUAAACACAAGUUUUAAGUUUGAAAGAUGCAAUUGCAUCACUCAAAGAUGAUCCCGCGUUGUAUUAGCUAGUUGGUGAGGUAAAGGCUCACCAAGGCGAUGAUACAUAGCCGACCUGAGAGGGUGAUCGGCCACAUUGGGACUGAGACACGGCCCAAACUCCUACGGGAGGCAGCAGUAGGGAAUCUUCGGCAAUAGACGAAAGGCUGACCGAGCAACGCCGGGUGAGUGAAGAAGGUUUUCGGAUCGGAAAACUCUGUUGGUAGAGAAGAACGUUGGUGAGAGUGGAAAGCUCAUCAAGUGACGGUAACUACCCAGAAAGGGACGGCUAACUACGUG
rnacentral:rRNA from 1 species